AAAUUGAAGAGUUUGAUCAUGGCUCAGAUUGAACGCUGGCGGCAGGCCUAACACAUGCAAGUCGAGCGGUAACACAGGGAGCUUGCUCCUGGGUGACGAGCGGCGGACGGGUGAGUAAUGUCUGGGAAACUGCCUGAUGGAGGGGGAUAACUACUGGAAACGGUAGCUAAUACCGCAUAACGUCGCAAGACCAAAGAGGGGGACCUUCGGGCCUCUUGCCAUCAGAUGUGCCCAGAUGGGAUUAGCUAGUAGGUGGGGUAACGGCUCACCUAGGCGACGAUCCCUAGCUGGUCUGAGAGGAUGACCAGCCACACUGGAACUGAGACACGGUCCAGACUCCUACGGGAGGCAGCAGUGGGGAAUAUUGCACAAUGGGCGCAAGCCUGAUGCAGCCAUGCCGCGUGUAUGAAGAAGGCCUUCGGGUUGUAAAGUACUUUCAGCGGGGAGGAAGGUGUUGAGGUUAAUAACCUCAGCAAUUGACGUUACCCGCAGAAGAAGCACCGGCUAACUCCGUGCCAGCAGCCGCGGUAAUACGGAGGGUGCAAGCGUUAAUCGGAAUUACUGGGCGUAAAGCGCACGCAGGCGGUCUGUCAAGUCGGAUGUGAAAUCCCCGGGCUCAACCUG
rnacentral:rRNA from 1 species